CUUCUGUUCCCUUUUUGCCCCUUCCCCUCCGCUGCGAACGUUUCGUUCUCUCAGAGAAGGCGUCCAUUUUCAGUCCAUUUCGAACCAGCUGGUUGGGGGGCAGCCAUGGAAGAUCUGCAUUCAUUGUUAGACAUGCGUGGGGGCCUUCGAUUUUCGUUUGAGAGGUGCGCUGCAAAUCCAGCCGCACUUUUAGUCUUCGUCUCACACAUUUGGUCGGGAGAUUUCUCAUCGUUUCUACAGCCUUCGACUCAGACGUCUUCUAUCUUUCUUGCUUGCGAGUUUUUGCAUCCUUUGUCUUCAGGUAUGCAUCCCGUCAACUUUUUAACAGAUCUUCUGGUCUUCAUUUCAUGAAUUUGUUUGUUGGCUGGGAGAUUUUUCGUCCUUUGUGCGUCGGUGUGAGCCAUGUUCUAUCUUUAGGGUAUUUUUGAUUUAUUUUUUACGAAUUUGGGUUCAUUUAUUUGGUUAAUUUGAUUUCAGGUUCUUGGGUAAUCCCUAAUGCUAUAUAAGAGGAGCUGAGGUAUUUAUAUUUCACAACAUAUUGGGUUCUAUCAGGAAGGGGAUUGAAUCUCACAGAUUAGCUCAGGUAUUUCCAUCGUUCUUAUUAUUAAUUUUUUUAAUCAAUUGUCGAUUCAAUGACUUUGCUCCCUUGGAGAAAUCUUAGAAAUGGAAAUCAUUCCCAAUUUCUGUUUUGGUUGCCGAUAAAACACUGGAAAGCAAAGACCAAGCGUGCUUUUUAAAAUUUUAAAAAAAAUUUCCUUUUUUUAUCUGCUUUUGGUUGCCAUAUCCUAAAUAUGGAGAAAAAAAUUAAUGAUAAAACACAAGGAAAAAAGAAGUGAAGAUUAAUUAGAUUUUGACAAAAUAGAAAUUGGGAAUGAUUAACCAGCAACCAUACUGAUAAAGUGCCAUCUUCCCUUCUUUGUGUACUCUCUAAGUUCUGCUCGCGUCAAUUUUUUCACCGUAUGCUCUGAGACAUAGCUAUGUGGCUUAAACUUUGGUAUAUGUAUAUGAAAAAUAUAGUUCUUGACUGCGAAGCUUUUUCUGUAUAUGUCACAGGUUCUUAAAUUCUAUCCUAAAUUCCCUAUGUUCAACUAGAAAGAAAGGUUUCCUUUUAUCUUCUUGAAAUAAUUCAUGUUUUAAAACCCAUUUAUCUAGAUUGACUCUCCAGGAUAUGGUGUCUGGGGAAACAUAUGGUUUACUUUCUCAGUUCGAUAUGCUUGGUACAUAAGUUCUGAAAAUUGUAUGGCCUGAUUGAGCAGGCAUGCUGUAGACUUCUUGCUUGAAUGUGUAUGGUUUGUCCUUUAAAAUUACAAUUGAACAUAAUAUCCUAGAUAUUAGGAUUGCCGCAGGCUUAUGUAGAUCACAGUCUGUGCAACGAUUCAAUCCUGAGUGAGAGAGUGGUUUUGUGAUUUUGAUUGUUUAGGGUGACUUUUGAUUGAGAUGUUCGAUUGAGUUGUCAGGACAAAGGGAAUGUAAAUCUAGAUCAACACUUACAGAAAAUUAAAGUUAUAUAUUGAAGUUUUUGGUUUUUAGAAUUAGAGAGGCUGAGAAAACAGAAAUCAUGCUACAAUGUACCUGGAAUGAAUAUUUUUGCUGCCUCCUUUAAGGAACCUAAAUCUGUUAUGUCUUUGGCCUGUCCAAGUUAGCAUAUAUUAGAUAAACUAUACAUUAGUAUUUAUCAAGCAGAUUAGAAAGUGUCACCUUAUAAACAGGGCCAAAUCCUCCCUCUCCCAGUUUAUUUGCUACAUUGAAGUUGUUUGUUGCAGCUAAAACUCUUUUUAAAUUGAAGAGUGGUAGUUCUGCAUCAUUCUUCGCAGCUUCAGCUCUUUCUUUACUUAUAGUCUUACUCAUACAGCCUUCCGUGCUCCCUGUUUCAUUCUUAUUAUUAGAGCAUUGGUUGUUUGGAACAAUAGAAUAUAUGUGUGAUGCAGAAUGCAUAUUAUUAGUUUUCCUAAUUCUACUUGGAUUAGUUUUCCUAUCUCUUAUUAGUUAAUUUGUUUUCCUAAUUCUUAAAGAUUCCUUCUUGUUAAAAGGAUCUCUUAUUAGUUAAUUUGCUUUCCUAUUUCUUAAAGUUUACUUUUCCUUUUCCUAGAUUAAAAAGGGUUUUGCCUCUAUAAAUAGAGUUGUUUGUAAUCUUUUAAGGCAGACUUGAUUAAUGAUAAAUUUCCUUACUUUAACCUCUCUGAUUCCUUCCCUUUCCCUUCGUCUCUUCGAUCUCUAAUUCUUCUCCUCGAUCCCUUAUUUCUUCUCUGUUCUAUUGCUCAAGCGUUUACUCUAAACUUACGGGCUGUUUACUCUAAACCUACGGGCUGUUCUACAUCAAUGUGUUUGUGUGAGUGAGAAACAGAAAAAGAAAGAGAAGGGUGGUAGCACUACACCUUCCAUUCCCAAGUAUUUCUUCCAUAUGAAGAAUUUGUUGGCUGGGAGAUUUUUUGUCAAGAGACUUUCUUUCUUUUAGUGGUUUGAUGUUCAUUCGACAGUUGAAGGCUCUGAAAGCAAGCUAAUAUAUAGAGUGACGGUAUAAAUAGAUGGAUCAUGGAUCUUGGUGCAAUUUUCUCUGUUUUUUUGGGUUAUUUUUUAUGCUGUUUUGAUUCAUGGGUUGGUUUUUAUGUAUUUUGUUUUUAGAAGUUGGACUUUUUGGAAUUUGAUAUUGAUAUGGGAAUUGAAAGCUUCAGUUCAGGAUAAUGCUUUUCAGUGUGUGUGUUUUUUUAAUAUGUCAGUCAGAGACUUGAAUCUUAUCUGCAUAAUAUUUCUCCUCCUUUCUGUUUCUUUUGGAUUAAACCUGAAAAAAAAAAAAAAAAAACAAGUGUCCAAUGCAAUGCAAUUGAGACUCUACUUAAUGAAAUUGUUCUCUGGCUUUUCCUUAUCUGAAAAAUGCCAAUUUUCCAUGGAAACAAAGGAAAUUAGGAUAUUAUAUAGAAACAAAAGAAAUUGUUGUGUUAUGUAUUGCAAUACAUUUAGUGAAAAAACUUUUUUUUAAUAAAUGUUUUUUUUUUUCUUUUUCCAAUUCAUAGUGGAAAUAACUUUAAAGUGGGAAAAGAUCAUCAAUUUUUAACAAUGAGGAUGAGAUUUUUUUUAAAAAAAAGGUUGGCUACAUAUCAAAACACUGUUAAAGAUGUAGCACAUGUGGCACUAAUUACACAAAUUGUGUAAUGAUCUAUUGUUGUUAAUAUUUGCUUUCUUAUUUUAUUUUUUGUUUUUCUGUUCAUGUUUUUUUAUACUAAUUUUAUGUAAUAUUUACUGAUUUGGUGAUGUCAUGUUAGAGAUGUUCAAAGUUUGAGCACUACCUCCAAUAUUUGAAUUCUAAUUCUGAAUUUUAAUUAUUCUCUCUUUCUAAGUUUGAACACUACCUCUAUUAUCUGGAACAAAUUGGCAAAACACAAAACACAUUUCAAUUGAGAUAAAAUUUGACCAUGCAGAGAGCUUCUUUGUCUGAGGUUUGGAGGUGUAAGAGGAGUUGGGGUUGCACUAAUUUUUGUUUGUGGUAUCAUGGAGUCACACAGUCAUUUAAUGUUAUUGAUUACAUCUGUUUUGCUUGGUUAGGCUAUAGAAGCUCUGUUUAAUUAGUUUUUGGAUAUUGUGUUGUUUGAAAAUUCUUGUUUCUAUAGUUGUGCUAUUGUUGGUGUGUGUCCAUUUUGCUUCAUUAGGCUAUAGAUGUAAUUAAGAAAUAAUAGUUUAAUUCAUGAAUGUUUUUUCCCUUGCCAACUAUUGAUCUGUUGGUCAAAGUUUGACUCUGAUUUUUGCUUUGGAUUUUGAUGAUGGCUGAUAUUCUGUUUUCUUCUAUCUCUGUUUGUUUUUGUUUUCCAGGAUUUUUCUUUUGUUUUAGAAGUGGACUAACAAAGUUCAGGCAUCUCAUAUAAAAACACUGCAAAGAAAAACAUAUUUGGACAGUUUUGGUUUGGGACUAGAAAAUCAUAAACUGCAAUUCUUUCGAUUUUUUCUUGCUUUUUUCUCUUCUUUCUUAAUCAUGUUUUGUUUUGAUGUUUUGUAGGUGUUGUUUUGCUGCUUUAGAUAGAGCUGUUUGGUGAUUGUUUUUGGUUCCGUUAAGCAAGAGGUUCGUUUCUAUGUUGAAAUUUCAAUUUAUUGUUUUCGGUUCUGUGAAUAGAGCAUGGUAAUUAGCUAAUGGCAUCAAUUAACAAUUGGUUCGUAUAAAUUUGAACUAAUUGCUAUGGUUGUACGCUGUAAAUGAAGCCAAGUAAUUCUUAUGUGGUUUGAACUAAUGCCAAGCUGUUUCGUGUAUGAUCUGUGCUUAAAUAUAUGUUAAUAUUUUUUACUUUUUCCUUAUAGUUUAUGGAAGAUAUGAUGUAUUUGGAGGGGUUGUUGCUAAGAGUGAUAACAACAUGAUGUUGCUUUUGAUUAUAUAUUAAUGCCUUUUCAUGUGCUGAAGCUUUUUGAAAAUUUUUGUUUUUUUGAGGGAGCUUUUUUAACAUGAAAAAUGAGAUGUGGCUGCCUUUGGUUUCAUUUGAUUGAUGUUUUGGGUUGAUUUUUAGGCAUAUAUGUUUAGUACAAAUUGGAGCUUGAUCUUUAGAUUGUUAGAAAAGACUUUGAGAUGACUCAAUUGUUGAAUUAGAGUAUGAGAUUUUGAUAUCUGUUUAAAGGGGAAAAAGGGAAAACAGAAAAAUUGAAUUGAAAAAUAUAUAAAAAAAUCUUGAUUGUUUAGGGUGACUUUUGCAUAGGUAACUUUUGAUUGUUUAGACCAGUAACUUUUGAUCUUAUAUUCUUUUUUCAUAUGCAUUUAGGAUCAUUUAAACAGCCAUUUUCCCGUGCUUUUACAGUGUUUUUCUUUGCCCAAAACACAUUAAUUUGGGUAAUCUUGAGUGAUUUCUUGCCUUGCAGAUUUUGCUCAGGCUAAAGUUUUAGUUUUAUAAAAAGAUUGUGCAUGUAUAAAAAUACGCAAGCUAAUUUCUUCUCCAUUUUUUCUGUUUUUUCUUCCUUUUUCUUCUCUCUCUCUUUUUUUAAAAACCAUGUUUUCUUUUGAUAUUUUGCAGGUGUUCUUUUGUUGCUUUGGAUAGAGCAGUUUGGUUGGUGUUUUCAGCUAUGUUAAGCAGGAGGUGAGUUUCUAGGCUGAAAUUUCCAAUUAAUUGUUUUAAGUUUUGUGAAUAGAGGAUAGGAAUUAGCUAAUGGUGUCAAUUGACAAUUGGUUGGGAUAAGUGUGUGCUUCUUAAUUUUUUCUUCAAGUCCUAAAGAAAGAUGGCAACCGUACAAAAAUAGACUUCAACAAUUUUCAAACGCAAAAAAAAAAAAAAAAAGGAUUAUAUGCCUUAUGAGAAGAAGAAACUGAAUUUUCGGUUUUUGCGUUUUUUACAGGUGCUGUAUAACUGUUUUUUAGACUGUUUGGUAGCUCUUCCCAUUGCUGCUAGACAACAGGUCAGUUUUCUAUUUGUCUUUUGAAGAAGUCUUGCAUAUCAACCGUGGCUAAUUGUUUUUUGGAUAUUGUGUCUUUGAAAAUUGUUAUUUCUAUCAUUGUGAUGUUAUUGCUUAUAUGGUUUGCUUGAUUAGGCUAUAGAAAUUGUAUUUAAUUCGUUUUCAUAUGUUUGUUUUGAAUUUUUUUAUUUAUAUAGCUGCAAUACUGUUGGUGUACGUCCAUUUUGCUUGAUUAGGCUAUAGAUGUAAUAAAAAUAUUGUAAUUUAACUCAUCCAUGUUUAUUUUUUCCUUUCCAGCCAUUGAUGUGUUGGUUGGAAUUUGUAAUUUUUGAAUAUGAUAACCUAAAAGAAUUACAAAAACCAGAAAAAGCCUGAGUUAAAUUAUAAUAGAUCGAUAUUGAAUGCAUUAGUGCCAAGGAAAAUGUUGUUGAGUUGUAAACAGUUACUCAAAAUCUUCCACCGGUUUCAUACUUGGUGCAUCUACAUUUAGCAUCUGUUUUAAAUUCUUCACUAAAUGGCAUCAAAAUAUUUAUUAACCAAAAAUAGCUAAAUACAAUGAAUAGUGAAAUUUCCACCAAUGACCAAAAAGAAAACUUAGAUGUUGUAAACUAUGCAGUGCUCUCAAAGUGUCGGCUUAUUUUACUGGUUUGGAUAGAGCUUUUAGGUUCCUGCUUUUGGUUCUGUUAAGCAAGAGGGAAAUUUCUUGGUUGAAAUUAAUUGUUUUCCAUUUUGCUUUAGCCAAUGGCAUCAAUUUCCCAUUUGCGUUGAUCAUUUAGGCAUAUGUACUGUUCUUAAUUUUUUAAUGAUGAAUUUUUGGUAUGCAAGUUUGAUAUCAAAGCAUCCCCUGUGAAUAUAUACAUUAGCUUUUUAGUAAACCCAUGUAAAUCAGCUACACGGUGCUUGAUUAUUAUGCAUCAAAGUUAUUCAAAUUAAAGAACACAUUAUUAAAAAGCAUGACAUUAUAAUCAGUAAUCGUAUACUCUUUAUUUCAAAUGCAGCAUCUAAUAGUUUUUAAAUAGACAGUGUAGCAUCUCCAUUGCAAUACAGUUAGUGAAAGAACUUUUUCUUAAUAAAUGUUUUUUUCGUUUUCAAUUCAUUGUGGAAAUAACUUUAAAGUGGGAAAAGAUCAUCAAUUUUUAACAAUGAGGAUGAUAUUUUUUUAUAAAAAGGUUGGCUAUACAUCAAAACACUGUCAAAGAUGUAGCACAUGUGGCACUAAUGCUCCAGUUGGGGAUCACCAGAUUGUUCAGAGCCCUGUUUUAGAAUCUAGAAUGUCUUUAUUUUCGCUCUUUUGAUUGUUGCUUAAUUUUAUUUCAAAUUGCUCCUCUGCAAAUGGUUGGUUGCAAGUCACAAUUAUGGGCCAUUGAACUAAUUUCCAGAAACAAAUUGACCACAUUGGCUUAACUAAUUAUAUAGGGUUUGGUCGAUGUUUGGUUUUAUCGAAUUUGUUUUUUACAGAACAUCUGGUAUUGGUCUACACUGUCUUGCAUGCAUAUGGAUUUUGAAAUGAGUUGUGAUAUGUUUAUUUAGUUUUCUCUUUAUGGUGUUGGUUACUUUUCAACCAAUUAACAUGUGAUUCUCCUCUCAAAGAAACCAGUCUUCAAUUCGUAUCGUCAUAUUUUCAUGUUUUCAUUUGUUUGUGUAAGAAAAGGAAAUGUAACAAAAAGUAUAGUUUCUGUUGGUUCUUGAUAUUCUUCAAUACGAAAAUCAGUAUUGAAACAGAUUUAUUAAUUGAGACUGUCUUAUCUCACAAGCAAAACCAAAAUUAUAUUUAUUAGCCUAAUUUUGUUUUUCUGUCUUUGUAUUUUAGAUAGCUGUUGUGAUCCUGCUUUUGUGUGGCUGUUUUCAAAGUGCUUGAUAGCUUCUUUGACUGCAGGUUAGUGUUUCAUCCAUUUUUCAAAAGACUGCAUGCAUGGUGGCUGUAGCUUAUUGAUUGCCAAAUAUUAUGACAACUGAAAAUUCUCAUUUCUGUGGUUCUGUCAAUAUCACGGCGCAUUUGCUUUGCUUAAUUACAGUUUAGGUGUGAUUGAUAAUUUAAAAUUUUAUAAAUGCAUGUUUUUUCUCCUUUCCAGUUAUCAAUCUGUUGCUUGGGGUUUUAAAUUUCUGUGCAUAAUGCAUAAAAGGACUAGAGAUAGUAAACGAAAUCAGAUGAUGCAAGAAGCUCAUAGUUUUGCCAUUUCAAAUGGUAUAGAAAUCUCUUAUGAAAGUGUUUGUCUUGCCGAUGAUAAACAUAAAACCUGAGAAGAAAAUGUGUCAGAUUCUGACAAUUUACUAAUUAUUGGUUUGAAGAAGAAAAAUGCCCAGGGCAGUUCCAAAAUUGCCUCUCCUACUUCCACAUCAGAGUUUAUGCUCUUUCCUUUUCAAUUCAUUCAUCUCAUUAAUGUAUACAUUACAUACAUAAUAUUUCAUUGUUCACAGCUUAUUUCCCCACUCAAUUUCUCUAUAUUAAGUGGUAGUUGAUUGCAUUGAAUUUGGGCAAAGUUUCCUUUCUCAUAAUUGUCUUCAAUUAUGAUUCAAUUUUAAAGAAAAUUUAUCAACUCUUCUUUUAAAAUAUAAUUUUUCUCAAACGUCUUUUAGAAUGCAAUUUGGUUUCAUUCCUUUGAGCCAAUGUGUUUGAUUUUAAAGCAUUUGCCUUGCAUUAAUUUUGGUGGUUUACACAAGUGAUGUACAUAUAUUUCAAUUCUCCCUGAUUCUAAUAUUUUAGUCACUUGAAAUUUUUGUUCAUACUAAGAAACUUCCCUGUUUUUAGAAGUUGGGGUAUGGAUAUUUGAUAACUUCAAUAAAUAUAUAAAUUUAUUUACUCUUUUUUAUUAAUUAUUAAAAUUUUCUUUUCUUUUUUUUUUUUCCUUAUUUUUUUGGAGCUCCCAUAUGAACUGACUUUCAAUUACAUUUCUCAAAUUUGAAACAUUGUUAUUAAAUGUUUUAAAUGUAAUUAACAAAACUAUAACCUGUAGCGUCUUAUCUCUACCUUUAUUCUACUUCUAUAACAUAUAGCUGUUUAUACAUCAUUGCUGCUUCUAUAGCUUACUUCUCCACUAGAGUAUCUUACUUCUAUAACAAACUUGCUCAUUAGGUCACUAGAUCAUCUUAUUUCUGUUUAUAGGUUAUUAGGUAUUUUUAGAUCAUUUAAAUUGUGGUUUUUGCAGUUUUUGUUGUUGGCCUUAAUUCUAUAACAACAGUCCUGAUCUCUUGGACCCCUGUAGUCCAAGAGAUUUAUGGUCACUCACCGUUGGAUGUAAAUUCAACGGUUCACUCAUUUAUGACUUGAAUCGGGGAAUAAUCAUUUAUGUCAUAUUGCAUUUAUAUAUAUCAUUUUGAACCAUUGGAUUAAUAUCUAACGGUGGGUGACCACAAUCUCUUGGACUCCUAUGGUCCAAGAGAUCGGGACUGUCUAUAACAAUAGCCAUUGUCUUUGCUCAAAUUUUCUCAUUUGCCGAGACUGACACCUACUGUUUACCAAGUUUAUACCAACAGAGUCAACAUCCCUUGAUUUGAUUCUAUUAAAAUUGUCACAAUUGUUUUCAGUUUAUUUUCAAUUGAUUCAAUAAAAUUGACCUUAUACUUUUAUCCAUCAGAUUAAUAGAAUGCUUGAUGUAUGUAAAUUGUUAUUUCUCUGAUUUACUUUUUAAACUUAAUUCUAUCAUAAUAAUUAACACUUGCCAUUUUCUGAUUUUAUACCAACAGAGUUAAAACCGCUUGAAUGGAGAAGAAGGAACAUCAGCCAGCUACGCAACAAAUGCAGCAACAGCUAAAUGCCCUUGCAAGAAACAUCAAAAAAGAAAAAUCCAUGUCCACCACCCAUUAAAAUAUAGAUAGACGCCGGUACAAGUUUUUUAGAACAAUAUGCAGCUCAAGGCUGCUCAUAUUUUGAUGUUUUAAUAGCUGCUUGACAUAUUAAAAUAUGCAUAAUAUUUUUACAUCUUAAACUUGCCAAACUAAGCAUGAUGGCACUGUUUAGAUCUCAAUUUAUAUAUAAAUAGGGCCAGUAUUUUAACAUAAUAAGCAACACAUAUAUCAUCUUAUUACUUUAUCCAUCUAUCUUAAUUUAUUUUUUUGUAACUUAAACGUGCUAAACUAAGCAUGAUGUCACUAUUUAGAUCUCAAUAUACAUAUAAACAAAG
rnacentral:lncRNA from 1 species